rnacentral:rRNA from 1 species
UACGAAGGAUUCGAGCGUUAUCCGGAUUUAUUGGGUUUAAAGGGUGCGUAGGUGGAUUAAUAAGUCAGUGGUGAAAGCCCGGAGCUCAACUCCGGAACUGCCAUUGAUACUGUUAGUCUUGAGUACAGUUGAGGUGGGCGGAAUGUGUCAUGUAGCGGUGAAAUGCUUAGAUAUGACACAGAACACCGAUUGCGAAGGCAGCUCACUACACGAAUAUUGACACUGAGGCACGAAAGCGUGGGGAUCAAACAGG